AACGAACGCUGGCGGCAUGCCUAACACAUGCAAGUCGAACGAGACCUUCGGGUCUAGUGGCGCACGGGUGCGUAACGCGUUGGAACCUGCCCUUAGGUUCUGAAUAACUCCCCGAAAGGGGUGCUAAUACCGGUUAAUGUCUUCGGACCAAAGUUUUAUCGCCUUUGGAUGGGCCCGCGUUGGAUUAGCUAGUUGGUAGGGUAAAAGCCUACCAAGGCGACGAUCCAUAGCUGGUCUGAGAGGAUGAUCAGCCACACUGGGACUGAGACACGGCCCAGACUCCUACGGGAGGCAGCAGUGGGGAAUAUUGGACAAUGGGCGAAAGCCUGAUCCAGCAAUGCCGCGUGAGUGAUGAAGGACUUAGGGUUGUAAAGCUCUUUUACCCGGGAUGAUAAUGACAGUACCGGGAGAAUAAGCUCCGGCUAACUCCGUG
rnacentral:rRNA from 1 species